rnacentral:rRNA from 1 species
UGGGGAAUAUUGCACAAUGGGCGCAAGCCUGAUGCAGCCAUGCCGCGUGUGUGAAGAAGGCCUUCGGGUUGUAAAGCACUUUCAGCGAGGAGGAAGGUGGUGAGCUUAAUACGCUCAUCAAUUGACGUUACUCGCAGAAGAAGCACCGGCUAACUCCGUGCCAGCAGCCGCGGUAAUACGGAGGGUGCAAGCGUUAAUCGGAAUUACUGGGCGUAAAGCGCACGCAGGCGGUUUGUUAAGUCAGAUGUGAAAUCCCCGGGCUCAACCUGGGAACUGCAUUUGAAACUGGCAAGCUAGAGUCUCGUAGAGGGGGGUAGAAUUCCAGGUGUAGCGGUGAAAUGCGUAGAGAUCUGGAGGAAUACCGGUGGCGAAGGCGGCCCCCUGGACGAAGACUGACGCUCAGGUGCGAAAGCGUGGGGCAGCAAACAGGAUUAGAUACCCUGGUAGUCCACGCUGUAAACGAUGUCGAUUUUGGAGGUUGUG